UAAUACGAAGGUCCCAAGCGUUAUCCGGAUUUAUUGGGUUUAAAGGGUGCGUAGGCGGGUUGUUAAGUCAGUGGUGAAAGCCUACAGCUCAACUGUAGAAUUGCCAUUGAUACUGACGAUCUUGAGUAUGGUUGAGGAGGGCGGAAUGUGUCAUGUAGCGGUGAAAUGCUUAGAUAUGACACAGAACACCGAUUGCGAAGGCAGCUCUCUAAGCCAAUACUGACGCUGAUGCACGAAAGCGUGGGGAGCAAACAGG
rnacentral:rRNA from 1 species